rfam:Sus scrofa chromosome 7.
UCCCUGGUGGUCCAGUGGUGAGGACGUGGUGCUCUCACCGCUGCAGCCCAGGUUCGAUUCCUGGUCUGGGAA